UACAGUGUAGAAUGACUGUCAUUGAGGCUAAUUGCAACGUCCCGAGUCAUUUGUUUAUUUAACCUUUAGCCAGGUAAGUCAUUGAGAAGAAAUUAGCAUUUUCAAUAACAACCUGUUUUAUAUGUUCUUUCAGCUUCUCCCUCAGAUGCACUGGUAUAAGUGGACAUAUCCCAGUUUGAAGUGCCAAGGCUAACAGUCAAUGACUCUCACUGUGAGAUGGAUAUCAAGUCAUCAGGUACUAUACUGGCAAUUUACUGUAGAUCUCACUGUUUCUCAUGUGUCAAGAGUCAGUGAAUAAACAAAAUGGCUACUUACACUGUACAGUGUAUUAUCGACAUACGGUGUAACCAAAUCCAUAUGUGAAUUAUUUGAAUUUCCCCCCUCUCCUCUCAGAUAAUUUAAUGUUGCCUACUCAGAUGGAGAUGGACCUGCCCCUCACCCCCUCACCCACUCUCCCAAGCCCAGCUUGACCCAGCUCAGUCUGGUCUCCUCCCAUCUCCCAGCAGAGCAGAUCUCUCCAGUCUACAGACAUUAUUUAGUGUCCGAGAAAGAUCAGGAAGAGAUGGAGGACAGAGUAGCACCCUCACUUUCUACUGGGCUUUCUUUUAGCAGGUAAGAAGAGCGUAGUCCUGUAGUUGUAUGAAGUGUUUGACAUAACAAGACUAAUCACAAAUUAGAAUAUGCACUUACCAGUUCACUGUUACCUAUGUUUCCUGUCACACUUGUCCUUUUCCUGCAUUCAUACUGCAUUUUGCACAGUGCAUUCUUAGCGGCAUUGAAUUACUAAAAAGCCAUAUUCUUCUCUUUGCUAAAUGCUAACAGAGCCCCAGAAGUCGUAAUCAUUUGUGCAGUUCCAGCCUUUGACUGAAGCCUUGAAGUUAUUACUGAUUGUUCGGGACAACUUUGUGACACUCAAUGAAGGAACAAGCUCACCAGGACUGACAGGGAUGAAUGAGAGUAUGACAAGCUCAGAGCAACCCCACAUUAUGGAGACAUUGAGCAGUAAGAUAGAGGACUUCACACCACUAUCACCCUGCCAGAUGGACAGAGUGUGACUGAGAUAUAAAACCUAUUGUCCCUGGCCUCCCGAGUGGCGCAGUGAUCUAAAGCAUUGCAUCACAGUGAUAGAGUGUCACUACAGACCCGGGUUUGAUCCCGGGCUGUAUCACAACCGGCCGUGAUCGGGAGUCCCAUA
rnacentral:lncRNA from 8 species